GUGGUAGCCACAGCAGCCAUCAUCACUCCCACGGCAUCCCCAUGCCCAUCCCUUACAUGAUGGGCGGCAGCGGCGGCGGUCACAGCCACUCCAACUACCUCCCCAUCGUCCUGACAACGGCUGGUUAAGUCCGCUGUGACUGGACUCUACCACAACCCUCUACUUUCAGUUUGUCCAUCAACAUGCGCUGGUCACGUGUUUUAACAAGUCUUCGAAAAGCUGACGGGUUGCAAGAAAACAAUAUUACAGAAUGUUAGUUUUUGUUUUUCUUCCAUAAUAAAAAGUCUUGGUAAAAUU